rnacentral:sRNA from 1 species
AGUGCUGCCGCAGCUCUGAGCAUUCCCACGUCACCAGAGAAGCCGGUGGGCAAUGAGAGCAUGUCUGCUUUCAGGUUGUGGCCUGGCCUGCUGAUCGUGUUGGGUUCUGUCUGCCAUAGAGGUUCAUCGUGUGGCCUUUCAACACAUGUAGAAAUAGGACACAGAGCUCUGGAGUUUCUUCAGCUUCACAAUGGGCAUGUUAACUACAGAGAGCUGUUACUAGAACACCAGGAUGCAUAUCAGGCUGGAACCGUGUUUCCUGAUUGUUUUUACCCUAGCAUCUGCAAAGGAGGAAAAUACCAUGAUGUGUCUGAGAGCACUCACUGGACUCCGUUUCUUAACGCAAGCGUUCAUUAUAUCCGAGAGAACUAUCCCCUUCCCUGGGAGAAGGACACAGAGAAACUGGUAGCUUUCUUGUUUGGAAUUACUUCUCACAUGGCGGCAGAUGUCAGCUGGCAUAGUCUGGGCAUUGAACAAGGAUUCCUUAGGACCAUGGGAGCUAUUGAUUUUCACGGCUCCUAUUCAGAGGCUCAUUCGGCUGGUGAUUUUGGUACUGUUUAUUUACAUUUGCUAAAUUUUCUCGUGGUAUAGUUCACUUAUAUUGACGUCACUACUGUGCUUUAAAUAUGUGUGUCUUUAAUAUUUUGCUGGUUGCAUGUAUUUUCUAUUUAAUGUUGCAGUUCAUUUAGAGUAGAGAUGUACCUCAUUUAACACAGAGAUGUAUUUCUAAAAACUUCUGUCUAUGUGUAUUGUUUUGUUAAAAAAUUCUACAUUUUGUUGUUGACAUGUCAUAAUUUUAGGAAAACUUUACUUAUACAUUGGGUUAAAAUUCAUUAGCUAGUGUCUCCUGCUCUCCUAAUACUUUAGCUUUAAACUAGUAAACUCCACCUUUUGCCUGUAGUAGUAAAUUGCUUUUAAAUAUUUAAACUAGGUGGUGAAUUGUGUUUAUUAAACCCUUAUGGUCGAUAUUUCCUUAAAGUAAAACAAAAAACACCUUUGGUUAUAUGGCUAGUUCUUUCUUAAUUUAUAUGUUUCACUAACUAAGAUUUUUAAAAGAUAGUUUUUUCUUAAAAAAAAAAAAAA